rnacentral:rRNA from 1 species
UACGGAGGGUGCAAGCGUUAUCCGGAUUCACUGGGUUUAAAGGGCGCGUAGGCGGUCACGCACGUCCGUUGUGAAAUCGCUCGGCUCAACUGGGCGGGGUCAGCGGAUACGGCGUGGCUGGAGCAAGCUAGGGGGCAAUGGAAUUCCCGGUGUAGUGGUGGAAUGCGUAGAUAUCGGGAGGAACACCAGUGGCGAAGGCGGUUGCCUGGAGCUUUGCUGACGCUGAUGCGCGAAAGCUGGGGGAGCAAACGGG